UACGUAGGGUGCAAGCGUUGUCCGGAAUUAUUGGGCGUAAAGAGCUCGUAGGCGGUCUGUCGCGUCGGAUGUGAAAACCCAGGGCUCAACCCUGGGCCUGCAUUCGAUACGGGCAGACUAGAGUUCGGUAGGGGAGACUGGAAUUCCUGGUGUAGCGGUGAAAUGCGCAGAUAUCAGGAGGAACACCGGUGGCGAAGGCGGGUCUCUGGGACGUUACUGACGCUGAGACGCGAAAGCGUGGGGAGCAAACAGG
rnacentral:rRNA from 1 species